rnacentral:misc_RNA from 1 species
AACGUAGGACGCGAGCGUUAUCCGGAGUUACUGGGCGUAAAGCGCGGGCAGGCGGCUGCUCAAGUCUGACGUGAAAGCUCCCGGCUUAACCGGGAGAGGCCGUUGGAAACUGAGUAGCUGGAGGGCAGUAGAGGUGUGCGGAAUUCCGGGUGGAGUGGUGAAAUGCGUAGAGAUCCGGAGGAACACCAGAGGCGAAGGCGGCACACUGGGCUGCACCUGACGCUGAGCCGCGAAAGCCAGGGGAGCGAACGGG